GUUUUAAUAGUUUAUAAAAAACUUUGGUCUUGUAAACCAACAAUGAAUUAAUUUAUUCUUAAAACU
rnacentral:tRNA from 1 species